UUCCAGAAGUUAAAAAUAAAUUCUUCCGGGAGCGUGCGUAAGUUAGUUAGGAAAUGAUUCAUUUCCUGAGUCUUGCAAGGGGUCCUCAGCUAUGUUGGGACUAGCACGUGUUCUAGGCAGAUUAAGUAGCAGGAGCAAAAGCACAGAGAAGCAACACAACCUGGCAGUUCGGAAAUGGCGGAUAGUCUAGGAUGGCUAAAGCUUAGGGCGUUGGUAAGAGUGAGGCUGCAGAGACGCAGAAGAGCUUCAUCUUGGGCACCUGGUAUGCCAUGCUUGGACCCCCGACCCCCUAGUUGGCAUUGGGAGACGUUGUCAGAGUGAAUGGUUGUAUGCAGAUCAACGGGGGAGACAAAAUAGUCAAGAUGAAAAUUCCACUGUUGCGGCUUCAGCCCUAGACUUUGCAUCUCCAUGAAAGAGAAGCUGUAAGAAGAAGGGCCAGAGGGACCCCAGAGGAAGCCCGCUGGUGUCCUGUACAAUGCCUUUUUGGACUGAUACUAAGAAUUUCAUCAGUGUCAGGCCAUUUUGGAAGAAGCACUGUUUGACUAAAAAGAAAGAUGGAAAUACACGGAAAUUAAGUAACUUGCUCCAAGUCACCCAGAUAGAGAAUUGCAGAGCUGGGAUGUGAAACCUAGGAAGCUGACCAGAACCUGCCUUCCUAAAGUAAAGUGCCAUCCGACCUCUGUUAUCUAUGCAGAAUCUGAGUGCAGAGCUGCUGUUACAUAUCUAGAUGCAUUGCCCAUAAUAUAUAUCUACAUAUCCGUAAGUAUAAUAUGUAUAUAAACUAAAAUAGCCAUUUUCUGGCUGUUUUUCAUAAGCAUUAUUUUAUGGUUCUUCGAAUGUUUUUAUGUCUACAUUUGGU